UACGUAGGGACCGAGCGUUGUCCGGAAUUAUUGGGCGUAAAGGGCUCGUAGGCGGUUUGUCGCGUCGGGAGUGAAAUCCACUGGCUUAACUGGUGGCUUGCUUUCGAUACGGGCAGACUGGAGGUAUGCAGGGGAGAACGGAAUUCCUGGUGUAGCGGUGAAAUGCGCAGAUAUCAGGAGGAACACCGGUGGCGAAGGCGGUUCUCUGGGCAUGUCCUGACGCUGAGGAGCGAAAGUGUGGGGAGCGAACAGG
rnacentral:rRNA from 1 species